rnacentral:rRNA from 1 species
GAUGAACGCUGGCGGCGUGCCUAAUACAUGCAAGUCGAGCGAACAGACGAGGAGCUUGCUCCUCUGACGUUAGCGGCGGACGGGUGAGUAACACGUGGAUAACCUACCUAUAAGACUGGGAUAACUUCGGGAAACCGGAGCUAAUACCGGAUAAUAUAUUGAACCGCAUGGUUCAAUAGUGAAAGACGGUUUUGCUGUCACUUAUAGAUGGAUCCGCGCCGCAUUAGCUAGUUGGUAAGGUAACGGCUUACCAAGGCAACGAUGCGUAGCCGACCUGAGAGGGUGAUCAGCCACGCUGGAACUGAGACACGGUCCAGACUCCUACGGGAGGCAGCAGUAGGGAAUAUUCCGCAAUGGGCGAAAGCCUGACGGAGCAACGCCGCGUGAGUGAUGAAGGUCUUCGGAUCGUAAAACUCUGUUAUUAGGGAAGAACAAAUGUGUAAGUAACUAUGCACGUCUUGACGGUACCUAAUCAGAAAGCCACGGCUAACUACGUG